CAAGGGACUUAAGUAACUUGAGCACUCAGUCCGGAAACGGCUGAAGUGAAUGGAGUCAAAUUCGGGGAAACCUCAGCAUGUAAGAUGGUGGCAAUCCCGAGCUAAGCCCUGAUAGUUUUAUGUCAUUUCGACAGAAGGGAGAAAUCUGGUUUCAAUAUAAUAAAGAUUUCUCAUUACAUUCGAAAUGACAAAAGUAUUCAGGGAAAGUGUAGAGACUUGAUGGCUCCUGCCUAAGUCAUAGUUAGGCAAUGGACUAUGAUAUGGUAAAGGUAAAGUCCAGACUACAAAUGCGUUUUAAG
rnacentral:ncRNA from 1 species